rnacentral:lncRNA from 1 species
GGGGCCGCAACUCUGGAACGGGUGGUCUGAUGGGUCUGAAAAUUUCAGGGAAGAUAAUUCUUGAUCUGAAGAAUUUUUUUCCUAUCAGAUAUGCUCUUUAGGAUUUAGUUUCAGAUGUAUAAGCCAAAAACUGCAUUUUACCCCCUUGAUCUAUUUUUAGCCAUGACCGCCAUCUUGGUCGAAGACCGGGAUCAUCGAAUAUAUUUUUUAAAACUAAAUACCCUAAGGAUUGUUUAGGCCACAAUAGGUUUAAUUUAUUUCAGUAGUUUUAGAGGAGUAUAUUUUUGUAAAAGUUAACGGGCGACGAUGACGAAGACGAACAACGACGAAGACGGACGCCAUGCGAUGAGAAAAGUUCACUUGGCUUAAGAUGUUGGAAGGUGGGAUAUGGGGUGUGCUUAUAUUACUUUUUUGUACAUGAUGGACCUUAGUUGGUUCAUUGAAAAAGUGAUAUGUAGGUAAUUCUAAAAUUAUAACAUGACCUUGACCUUUGACUUUGAACUUAAAUUCCUGUUUGUAAAUCAAGGACCUUAAAUCGGAAAACUUACCUUUCAUGCGAUUCAUCAAAACAUCACUUACAUCAG